rnacentral:lncRNA from 1 species
AUUCGACAUCCUUGGGAAAAAUCGGAUGGGAAAUCGUACAGUGUUCCCUGAUUAUUUUUUAUGAUAAAUGAAGAACUUCUGUUUUAAAAUACUUAAAUCUGUGGAUAACUGUCAAAAAUGUAGACCUCAAAUAACUGUUCAAUCGAGACAAAAUACACCCGAUUUCUUACAAAAUUUAAAAUCUUGACCGGGGAAAUUAUCAAAGAUAACGUAUCGGUUAUUUUUUAAAUUUUAAUUCCAAG